CUUCGUUGUUGUUGUUGUUGCUGCUGCUGCUGUUUGUUGUUGUUGUUGCUGCUGUUAGCCUUUUGCCUUUAGUGUUGUGGGCGUGUUCACUGUUGAACGUUCUGUCGGCGUCAUCGGCAGCGGCAACAUUUCUGUGUUCUUCACGUGUUUCAUUUUUUCUUUAGCUGCAGCCGCUUUCAAGUUGAAUUCUCGUUGCUGUUGUUGUUGUUGCUCCGACAUGUGAGAAUUUGCCGUAAAUCAACCUGUUGCAUGUUGUUGUUGUUGUUGUUGUUAUUGCCAGUCGCCUGUUGCCUGUUGCCGCACACAGUUUUCGGCGUCAGCCACUUGGCUUAUGAAGUGCCACAGAGAAACAGGUUAAUCGAUUUUAAAUCGGUUUUGAUGUUGUUUUGAUCGCUGCCUCUUGCAAGUGUCUGUGUAUUCGUGUGUAUUUUCUAUG